UAUUUAUAGUUCUGGCUGAGAUUAACAAUGUAGAAGAAAAAAAACCUCACAUGUUUUAAGUACUUCCGGUCCAACCGGAAGUCUUGAUCCGGCAAGCAAACUUCCAUCAUGGCUCCCCCAGUAGCAGUGUCACCGCUUAUUAAGACGGCCAGAUGGUCCGCUCUACUGCUUGGUGUCUUCUAUGGAAAACAGAGAUUUGAGUACCUGAAGCCGAUUGCUGAAGAGGAGCGAAAGGUAGAGGAAGCCGAGAAGAAGGCUAGAGAGGAGCAGGAACGCAUCUAUAAACAGUUGUCAGAAGCAAAUUCUGAAACCAUCCUGAAAUGAAGCAUAUCUGAACCUGUGCAGAGAUGUUCUAAGAUAAAUAAAAAAGCCAUUAUUUUUCAUUUAAA